rnacentral:rRNA from 1 species
CCCGGUGAAGUUUUAACGGCCGCAGUUAAUAGCUGUGCUAAGGUAGCGUAGUAAGUUGUCCUUUAAAUGGGGAAAGGAAUGAAUGGUUUGACGUGGGAAAGUCUGUCUCUGGUGAAAGGCUAAAAAUUUUCUUCCCAGUGAAAAGCCUGGGAUGAAAUUAAAAGACGAGAAGACCCUAUCGAGCUUGAAUUAGUUUGGAAGUGUUUCUUAAUGAAAGUUUGGUUGGGGCAACCUGGGAGCAGGGCUAGACUCCUUAGGGAUUGUGAAGAUCCAAAAUUUUUGAAAAGAGAAAAAGCUACCGUAGGGAUAACAGCGUUAUCUUUUCUGAGAGAACACAUUGAAGAAGAG